AUGAACGCUGGCGGCGUGCCUAAUACCUGCAAGUCGAGCGAACAGACGAGGAGCUUGCUCCUCUGACGUUAGCGGCGGACGGGUGAGUAACACGUGGAUAACCUACCUAUAAGACUGGGAUAACUUCGGGAAACCGGAGCUAAUACCGGAUAAUAUAUUGAACCGCAUGGUUCAAUAGUGAAAGACGGUUUUGCUGUCACUUAUAGAUGGAUCCGCGCCGCAUUAGCUAGUUGGUAAGGUAACGGCUUACCAAGGCAACGAUGCGUAGCCGACCUGAGAGGGUGAUCGGCCACACUGGAACUGAGACACGGUCCAGACUCCUACAGGAGGCAGCAGUAGGGAAUCUUCCGCAAUGGGCGAAAGCCUGACGGAGCAACGCCGCGUGAGUGAUGAAGGUCUUCGGAUCGUAAAACUCUGUUAUUAGGGAAGAACAAAUGUGUAAGUAACUAUGCACGUCUUGACGGUACCUAAUCAGAAAGCCACGGCUAACUACGUG
rnacentral:rRNA from 1 species